UAGGGAAUCUUCCACAAUGGGCGCAAGCCUGAUGGAGCAACACCGCGUGAGUGAAGAAGGGUUUCGGCUCGUAAAGCUCUGUUGUUAAAGAAGAACACGUAUGAGAGUAACUGUUCAUACGUUGACGGUAUUUAACCAGAAAGUCACGGCUGACUACGUGCCAG
rnacentral:rRNA from 1 species